AUCCAGCUGACGAGUCCCAAAUAGAACGUAACGCGCGUCAAACUGAAU
rnacentral:hammerhead_ribozyme from 1 species